rnacentral:rRNA from 1 species
GAUGAACGCUGGCGGCGUGCCUAACACAUGCAAGUCGAGCGAGAAGUUAUUCAAUGAAUCUUCGGAAGAAUUGAAUAAUGGAAAGCGGCGGACGGGUGAGUAACGCGUGGGCAACCUGCCUUUCACAGAGGGAUAGCCAAAGGAAACUUUGACUAAAACCUCAUAAAGCCGGAAUAGUGCAUAAUAUACCGGCCAAAGAUUUAUCGGUGAAAGAUGGGCCCGCGUCUGAUUAGCUAGUUGGUGGGGUAACGGCUCACCAAGGCAACGAUCAGUAGCCGACCUGAGAGGGUGAUCGGCCACAUUGGAACUGAGACACGGUCCAAACUCCUACGGGAGGCAGCAGUGGGGAAUAUUGCACAAUGGGCGCAAGCCUGAUGCAGCAACGCCGCGUGAACGAAGAAGGCCUUCGGGUCGUAAAGUUCUGUCCAUAGGGAAGAAAAAAAUGACGGUACCUAUGGAGGAAGCCCCGGCNUAAUACGUGCCAGCAGCCGCGGUAAUACGUAUGGAGCAAGCGUUAUCCGGAAAUUAUGGGCGUAAGAGUGCGUAGGUGGUGGCUUAGCGCAGGGUUUAAGGCAAUGGCUUAACUAUUGUUCGCCUUGCGAACUGGGUCACUUGAGUACAGGAGAGGAAAGCGGAAUUCCUAGUGUAGCGGUGAAAUGCAUAGAUAUUAGGAGGAACACCGGUGGCGAAGGCGGCUUUCUGGACUGCAACUGACUCUGAGGCACGAAAGCGUGGGUAGCAAACAGGAUUAGAUACCCUGGUAGUCCACGCCGUAAACGAUGAGCACUAGGUGUCGGCCACUAAAGGUCGGUGCCGCAGUUAACGCAUUAAGUGCUCCGCCUGGGGAGUACGCACGCAAGUGUAAAACUCAAAGGAAUUGACGGGGACCCGCACAAGCAGCGGAGCAUGUGGUUUAAUUCGAAGCAACGCGAAGAACCUUACCAGAGCUUGACAUCCCUCUGACAGAUCCUUAAUCGGAUUCUUCUUCGGACAGAGGAGACAGGUGGUGCAUGGUUGUCGUCAGCUCGUGUCGUGAGAUGUUGGGUUAAGUCCCGCAACGAGCGCAACCCUUAUCAUUAGUUGCCAUCAUUAAGUUGGGCACUCUAGUGAGACUGCCGGGGACAACUCGGAGGAAGGUGGGGAUGACGUCAAAUCAUCAUGCCCCUUAUGUUCUGGGCUACACACGUGCUACAAUGGUCGGUACAGAAAGCAGCGAAACCGUGAGGUGAAGCCAAUCUCCAAAACCGAUCUCAGUUCGGAUUGUAGGCUGCAACUCGCCUACAUGAAGUCGGAGUUGCUAGUAAUCGCAGAUCAGAAUGCUGCGGUGAAUGCGUUCCCGGGUCU